GGUGUAGCUCAGUUGGUUAGAGUAUCGGAUUGUGGAUCCGUGGGCCGAGGGUUCGAGUCCCUUCUC
rnacentral:tRNA from 1 species